UGCUUAGCUGCCUGUGUGUCCAGUUCACGCAGCCUGCCAGCCAUUCACCCUCCCGCUGCUGACGGUGUCCUGCCAGUCUGUGCGGGAUAAUGUUUACUAACAUCAGCCACAUGGCUCCCAUUUUGCCACGGCUCUGCCCAAAAUAUGUCACUCAACAGCCGAUUGUCAGGCAGCCGGCCAACCUGCCUGCAACGCGCUGGAAAAAAAUCUGUCGCGGGGGACUGCUAGCAGUGAUCUUCCGCCAACAAUCUCCUCUCCUAUGAAAAGGGGAAUCAAUGUGAGCCUUCACAGUUGCCCCUUCCGCAUCGGCGGCAUGAUCACCGGGGAUGCAUAAUGAGUAACGUGGGGAACUGGAGGAGCUUCUGUGUGGGGGUUUUACGGGGCAGGCUGUGCUCGGUUGGAACUGGAGCUCAUUGUCAAGGGGGUCUGCUGCCAUUUCCUUUUCUAGUACAAAGGCUCCCGCGAACGUCUCACUCUCAUUCUAUUGGGGACGCCGGCGAGGGCGAAAGAAAACGCGGGUGUCCGUGGCUACGAGAUGGUUGGAGGGGGACAACUUGCCAGAAGGCUGCUUCUCUAGCAAAUAUCUAGCGGGGUAUUUCUCCAGCAGCUCUGCUGAAAUAAAAAUCAGUCAAUCCAUACAUAA